rnacentral:rRNA from 1 species
GGCGAACGCUGGCGGCGUGCUUAACACAUGCAAGUCGAACGGAAAGGCCCUGCUUUUGUGGGGUGCUCGAGUGGCGAACGGGUGAGUAACACGUGAGUAACCUGCCCUUGACUUUGGGAUAACUUCAGGAAACUGGGGCUAAUACCGGAUAGGAGCUCCUGCUGCAUGGUGGGGGUUGGAAAGUUUCGGCGGUUGGGGAUGGACUCGCGGCUUAUCAGCUUGUUGGUGGGGUAGUGGCUUACCAAGGCUUUGACGGGUAGCCGGCCUGAGAGGGUGACCGGCCACAUUGGGACUGAGAUACGGCCCAGACUCCUACGGGAGGCAGAAGUGGGGAAUAUUGCACAAUGGGCGGAAGCCUGAUGCAGCAACGCCGCGUGCGGGAUGACGGCCUUCGGGUUGUAAACCGCUUUCGCCUGUGUCGAAGCGUGAGUGACGGUAAUGGGUAAAGAAGCACCGGCUAACUACGUG